AGAGUUUGAUCAUGGCUCAGAUUGAACGCUGGCGGCAGGCCUAACACAUGCAAGUCGAGCGGUAGCACAGAGAGCUUGCUCUCGGGUGACGAGCGGCGGACGGGUGAGUAAUGUCUGGGAAACUGCCUGAUGGAGGGGGAUAACUACUGGAAACGGUAGCUAAUACCGCAUAACGUCGCAAGACCAAAGUGGGGGACCUUCGGGCCUCAUGCCAUCAGAUGUGCCCAGAUGGGAUUAGCUAGUAGGUGGGGUAACGGCUCACCUAGGCGACGAUCCCUAGCUGGUCUGAGAGGAUGACCAGCCACACUGGAACUGAGACACGGUCCAGACUCCUACGGGAGGCAGCAGUGGGGAAUAUUGCACAAUGGGCGCAAGCCUGAUGCAGCCAUGCCGCGUGUGUGAAGAAGGCCUUCGGGUUGUAAAGCACUUUCAGCGGGGAGGAAGGCGUUAAGGUUAAUAACCUCAGCGAUUGACGUUACCCGCAGAAGAAGCACCGGCUAACUCCGUGCCAGCAGCCGCGGUAAUACGGAGGGUGCAAGCGUUAAUCGGAAUUACUGGGCGUAAAGCGCACGCAGGCGGUCUGUCAAGUCGGAUGUGAAAUCCCCGGGCUCAACCUGGGAACUGCAUUCGAAACUGGCAGGCUAGAGUCUUGUAGAGGGGGGUAGAAUUCCAGGUGUAGCGGUGAAAUGCGUAGAGAUCUGGAGGAAUACCGGUGGCGAAGGCGGCCCCCUGGACAAAGACUGACGCUCAGGUGCGAAAGCGUGGGGAGCAAACAGGAUUAGAUACCCUGGUAGUCCACGCCGUAAACGAUGUCGAUUUGGAGGUUGUGCCCUUGAGGCGUGGCUUCCGGAGCUAACGCGUUAAAUCGACCGCCUGGGGAGUACGGCCGCAAGGUUAAAACUCAAAUGAAUUGACGGGGGCCCGCACAAGCGGUGGAGCAUGUGGUUUAAUUCGAUGCAACGCGAAGAACCUUACCUGGUCUUGACAUCCACAGAACUUUCCAGAGAUGGAUUGGUGCCUUCGGGAACUGUGAGACAGGUGCUGCAUGGCUGUCGUCAGCUCGUGUUGUGAAAUGUUGGGUUAAGUCCCGCAACGAGCGCAACCCUUAUCCUUUGUUGCCAGCGGUCCGGCCGGGAACUCAAAGGAGACUGCCAGUGAUAAACUGGAGGAAGGUGGGGAUGACGUCAAGUCAUCAUGGCCCUUACGACCAGGGCUACACACGUGCUACAAUGGCAUAUACAAAGAGAAGCGACCUCGCGAGAGCAAGCGGACCUCAUAAAGUAUGUCGUAGUCCGGAUUGGAGUCUGCAACUCGACUCCAUGAAGUCGGAAUCGCUAGUAAUCGUAGAUCAGAAUGCUACGGUGAAUACGUUCCCGGGCCUUGUACACACCGCCCGUCACACCAUGGGAGUGGGUUGCAAAAGAAGUAGGUAGCUUAACCUUCGGGAGGGCGCUUACCACUUUGUGAUUCAUGACUGGGGUGAAGUCGUAACAAGGUAACCGUAGGGGAACCUGCGGUUGGAUCACCU
rnacentral:rRNA from 1 species